AGUCAAUAUCUGUCGCUUAUGACUCAGUAAACAGAGCAAGUCGCUCUCUUUCUGUGUUAAGUACAGUCGCGCAAGUAAGAAACUGCAUUACAUUUAACAAAGAUAUAACCUAGUUAAAUAAAAAAAAGACAAAAAAAAGACAAAAAAAAGCCUGGCAUAUGCCAGGCUUUCGUCGCAAUAAA
rnacentral:misc_RNA from 1 species